rnacentral:rRNA from 1 species
GACGAACGCUGGCGGCGUGCUUAACACGUGCAAGUCGAGCGGAAAGGCCACUUCGGUGGUACUCGAGCGGCGAACGGGUGAGUAACACGUGAGUAAUCUGCCCCUGGCUUUGGGAUAGCCACCGGAAACGGUGAUUAAUACCGGAUACGACCACUUCUCGCAUGGGAUGGUGGUGGAAAGUUUUUUCGGCCAGGGAUGUGCUCGCGGCCUAUCAGCUUGAUGGUGAGGUAAUGGCUCACCAUGGCUUCGACGGGUAGCCGGCCGGAGAGGGUGACCGGUCACAGUGGGGCUGAGACACGGCCCAGACGCCAACGGGAGGCAGCGGUGGGGAAUAUUGGACAAUGGGCGGAAGCCUGAUCCAGCAACGCCGCGUGAGGGAUGACGGCCUUCGGGUUGUAAACCUCUUUCAGCAGGGACGAAGCGCAAGUGACGGUACCUGCAGAAGAAGCACCGGCCAACUACGUGCCAGCAGCCGCCGUAA